rnacentral:rRNA from 1 species
GUCAGCUACAAGGGCUCACGGUGGAUACCUGCACACAGAGGCGAUGAGACGUGGUACUGGCGAUAGUCUCGGGGAGCUGGAACACGCUUUGAUCCGGGAUU